UACAGAGGCCUCGAGCGUUAGGCGGAAUCACUGGGCUUAAAGGGUGCGUAGGCGGCGCGACAAGUUGGGUGUGAAAUCCCUCGGCUCAACCGAGGAACUGCGCCCAAAACUGUCGUGCUCGAGGGAGACAGAGGUGAGCGGAACUUAGGGUGGAGCGGUGAAAUGCGUUGAUAUCCUAAGGAACACCGGUGGCGAAAGCGGCUCACUGGGUCUCUUCUGACGCUGAGGCACGAAAGCUAGGGUAGCGAACGGG
rnacentral:rRNA from 1 species